ensembl:lncRNA
CUUUUUUUUCUAGUUGUAUUUUCCAUUUUUAUUUUUUUUAUAUUCUUCUAUAUUGUUGUUAAUUUGACUGUAAAUGAUCACCCACCGUGACAUUCCUCCUAUGUCCAUCUUACUUGGCAAAUAAAGGACUCUCACUCCAACUAGUGUUGGAUACAGUCAAAAGUUAAUAUGGGGAUCAUUGCCCUGGAAUUGCCAUGUUCAAAAUUGAAUACUUCUGAUGCAUAUUUUUACCAAAUGAGGUCAUUGCUUCUCGACACGGGUUUAAAAACAACUGAUUGUUUGUUCUUUGUGUUCUGUGUGAUAAUUUACAUAUGGUGCAGGCGAGUGGAGACUCAGUCUAAUAGGAGAUGCAAACAACCUAACCGCUGGGCCCUUGUGAUCGGAUCACCGGGACCUAUUUUAAUGUGUAAACGACGCCACAGACAGAGAUUGCUUUGAAUUCAAAGGGGGAGGAAAAAAAAAAACCUUCUGAUUUUGAAAGUCCUCUUCAAAGACGAGGUGUGGCUGAAGGGUUUUCCAGGUAAACUGCUCAGUUUGCUCGGUAAAUGUUUCGCAGCUCGUUCCCUCCCGGCUCUGUUAGUUUCCUAAUUGCUGGGCCUCGGUGUUUAUAUUCUGACUAAAGUGAGGUUGAGUUUUUAAGCCACUUUUCACACGUGAAUGGUUUGAGAUCUUAAGAAGUAGAAGAAUUACGAGGCGGUGGCCAUGGUCACAUUUUGUUGCGUUUCCAGCUCUUGGCAGACUAGACUUGAUGGAGUCUUCAUGGAAAACGGGCUCUUUCUUAAAAGGAUUGCUCUUCUGUAUUUUGGUAAUUUGUAAUGGAAAUUGCGACAUAAUGUAGGCUUUGUUGUGUUCAGUUCGUGAGCAGAGGAAGGCACUGCACACCCUGAAGAGGAAGAACGGAGCGGUUGGUUUUUGAGCCACAGGAACAAGCCCAUGGUGAAAUUAGAAUCGCAUCCUACUUGUAGCGUAGAUGGGAGGCCCCCAUCUGGCCUCCGUGCUCUGCUCGACUGAUGUGAACCAGCUGGGCCUGGAAUGUUUGGCUCACACAACUUCCACCCGUGAAGCAACGCGCGGCCGGUAACCAGUGACUGCUGCUGUUGCAGAGGAGCACAAAUCGCCCCACCAGUGGUAGUCCGCAAAUGGGUCGCCUUGUUGGAGCUCAGGUGUUGGUUGAUAGCGACUCUACCUCCUCUGUGGGUUCCCCCCCCCCGACAUGGUGGAACUGCUCGCCGGCCCCCUCCUCUGGGGCUGAUAUGUGUGUUGAGGGGCCGUGUUAUCUCUCUUUAGGAUUAAAACAUCAGUGCACAAGCUAUUAGUCGCUGGAUGAUUAUCUAAAUAUAGCUCCCCUUCUGUACACCUCCAUCCCCUUUCAUUUUCUUGCUGGCUCUACGUUCUAACCCCCCCCGUUAAUGGCUCCUCUUGCCUUCACUCAUGUAUGUGUGCAAGCAUCCAUGUGGACAUCUGCAGUUUUAAUGCCCUAUAGGCAGAAAAGAAAUUGUGCUAUUUGUCGGCUGUUAUGUGCCAUCAUUCUUUAAAGCACACAUUGCACAGUGAGGAAAAAGGAGGGGGGGGGGUGCUGGACGCAAGACCAGAAAAGUACUUUCUUUGGUGCCCUGAAGUAUCCCACGCCAAACCUGC